GACGAACGCUGGCGGCGUGCUUAACACAUGCAAGUCGAACGGAAAGGCCCUGCUUUUGUGGGGUGCUCGAGUGGCGAACGGGUGAGUAACACGUGAGUAACCUGCCCUUGACUUUGGGAUAACUUCAGUAAACUGGGGCUAAUACCGGAUAGGAGCUCCUGCUGCAUGGUGGGGGUUGGAAAGUUUCGGCGGUUGGGGAUGGACUCGCGGCUUAUCAGCUUGUUGGUGGGGUAGUGGCUUACCAAGGCUUUGACGGGUAGCCGGCCUGAGAGGGUGACCGGCCACAUUGGGACUGAGAUACGGCCCAGACUCCUACGGGAGGCAGCAGUGGGGAAUAUUGCACAAUGGGCGGAACCCUGAUGCAGCAACGCCGCGUGCGGGAUGACGGCCUUCGGGUUGUAACCCGCUUUCGCCUGUGACGAAGCGUGAGUGACGGUAAUGUGUAAAGAAGCACCGGCUAACUACGUG
rnacentral:rRNA from 1 species